ensembl:lncRNA novel transcript, antisense to NCOA6
GAGUUGGCAAAGCUGCUGAUGUGUUAGCUGAAGUUGUGAUGGGAUUGGAAGUGACAAAUACAGUUAUUUGAUUUGGGGGCAAGGGAGUGGAAAUGGAGGAAGAGCUAACAGGUCUUGACAUUACUGGAGGGAUGCUUGGUGCAACGUUAGAACUGACCUCACUCAAUUCGGGAUGCACAAGGGAUGAACACAGCUCAUUACUGUGAGAAUUCUCUGUCAUGGAGCAUCUUGCAGGACUAAGUUGGCCAAAGCACACUUUUAGGAAUGUUGAGGAGACUUGCUAUUCCUUUCUCAGCUUUGUGAUGUUGAAGAAGCUACAUGGAAAGGAAUUCAGAGCAACCUCCAGCCAUCAGCCAGUGAGAAACCAAGCCCUUCAAUUCAACAUCCCUUCAAGAAGAGAAUUCUGUCACCAACCAAGUUAGUUUGGAAACAGAUUAUUCCCCAGCCAAGCGCUAAGAUGAGACACCAGCCCUGGCUGACACCUUGACUACCUCCUGUGAGAGACCCUGAAACAGAAGACCCAUCUAGGCUAUGCCGAUUCCUGACCCAUGGAAACCCAUGCCAUAAUAAAAAUGUAUGUUGUUUUAAACUACUAAA